rnacentral:rRNA from 1 species
UACGUAGGGGGCUAGCGUUGUCCGGAAUCAUUGGGCGUAAAGAGCGUGUAGGCGGCUUGGUAAGUCCGCUGUGAAAGUCCAGGGCUCAACCCUGGAAUGCCAGUGGAUACUGUCAAGCUAGAGUCCGGAAGAGGCGAGUGGAAUUCCUGGUGUAGCGGUGGAAUGCGCAGAUAUCAGGAGGAACACCGAUGGCGAAGGCAGAUCUCUGGGCCGUAACUGACGCUGAGGAGCGAAAGCGUGGGGAGCGAACAGG